GUCUACGACCAUACCACCCGGAAAACACCGGUUCUCGUCUGAUCACCGAAGUUAAGCCUGGUCGGGCGAAGUUAGUACUUGGAUGGGUGACCGACUGGGAAUACUUCGUGUUGUAGACU
rnacentral:rRNA from 1 species